UGCCAGCCGCCGCGGUAAAACCAGCACCUCAAGUGGUCAGGAUGAUUAUUGGGCGUAAAGCGUACGUAGGCGGUUUGUUAAGUCAAAUCUGAAAGCCCCCAGCUUAACUGGGGAGGGUGAUUUGAAACUGGCAGACUUGAGUAUGGCAGAGGUAAGUGGAAUUUCAUGCGUAGCGGUGGAAUGCGUAGAUAUAUGAAGGAACACCAGUGGCGAAGGCGGCUUACUGGACCAGAACUGACGCUGAUGUACGAAAGCGUGGGGAGCAAACAGGAUUAGAUA
rnacentral:rRNA from 1 species